GAAAAAUCUCAUUUUUGUGUUGGAAAGCUGUUUGUAUCCACCAGCUUAUGAUAUACCAAAACAAACUUCCUGCGUCCCCAGCCUGAGUCUAUUUAUGUCGACUGUUCGAAUCUGCCUCGUCCCUUGUCACAAGCUGCCUGAGUCUCCUGCCACAAGCAAUUCAGUCUUGCUGAAUCACAUUGCCCACACUGUUUUGCGGCCGCUGUCAAGAUGGAUUGGCUGCGACUUGGGGAACUUAAGUGGUAGCACUCAAUAUUGGACUUAUCAAACUUUGAAUUUUGUUAAAUGAAUGCUGGUGCUGGUCAUGUCCUCUGCCUUUGCCUCACGAAUCUGGUAUGUAAGAACCUCUACCUUUUACUCUUCCUCAUCCACGCCCUUGAUAAUGGCCUCUAUUUGAUCCUUUACCUAUAGAGGCUUCAACUUAUGUUGAAGCCUUUAAAUGUUGCUCCUCGGUUAAAUCUAUUGUCAUUCUCUACUCAUGUCCUAAUAAUGAACUUUGCAAUUCAUCAAUUGAAAGCUCAUCGAGGUCUUUUAAUUCAUCAAUAUAACAUACCACAUAGGAGAAUUUUGGAGCCAUUGAUCGAAAAUUUUUCUCCACCACUGUUGUAUCUACAAUUUUGUCAUCAUGAAUACGCAUCUUGUUUAUUAUUUCCAGUGUUCUUGAGAAACACUCAUCAACAAACUCUGCUUGCUUUAUAUAGACAAUCUUGAGUUCUUUGCGAAGGACUUCAAACUGCUGCCUUUUCACCCUUGUUGUGCCUUUUGCAAAAUAAUCUCCAAAAUGGAAUGACCAAUAGCUUGAAACAAAUAAUUCUUUUCCUUAAGAUCCUUCAACUUUUGCUCUUCAAGUUUCUUCUGCUAAGCUUCAGUCAACACCUCUCCAGGGGCUCGUUCAGUC
rnacentral:lncRNA from 1 species